rnacentral:tRNA from 1 species
UUAAUUAAAACCAAAUUAGAGGUGUAAUAUUGUUAAUAUUAUUAUUGGUAAAUUUAAAUUUAUCUAAUUAAA